UACGAAGGGGGCUAGCGUUGUUCGGAUUUACUGGGCGUAAAGCGCGUGUAGGCGGGUCGUUCAGUUGGGGGUGAAAUCCCGGAGCGCAACUCCGGAACUGCCUUCAAAACUGGCGACCUGGACUCAAGCAGAGGCAAGUGGAAUUGCGAGUGUAGAGGUGAAAUUCGUAGAUAUUCGCAGGAACACCGGUGGCGAAGGCGACUUGCUGGGCUUGUAGUGACGCUGAGACGCGAAAGCGUGGGGAGCAAACAGG
rnacentral:rRNA from 1 species